GUCUAUGGCCAUACCACCCUGAACGCGCCCGAUCUCGUCUUAUCUCUGGAAGCUAAGUAGGGUCAGGCCUGGUUAGUACUUAACUGGGAGACCGCCUGGAAUUGGCUUCCCGCUCUCUCCC
rnacentral:rRNA from 1 species